GACGUAGGGCGCAAGCGUUAUCCGGAAUUAUUGGGCGUAAAGAGCUCGUAGGCGGUUUGUCGCGUCUGCUGUGAAAUCCCGAGGCUCAACCUCGGGUCUGCAGUGGGUACGGGCAGACUAGAGUGUGGUAGGGGAGAUUGGAAUUCCUGGUGUAGCGGUGGAAUGCGCAGAUAUCAGGAGGAACACCGAUGGCGAAAGCAGAUCUCUGGGCCAUUACUGACGCUGAGGAGCGAAAGCAUGGGGAGCGAACAGG
rnacentral:rRNA from 1 species